GAGAGAGAGAGAGAGAGAGAGAGAGAUCAGACCCACUAGAAAGUAGAAAACAGAUGAGAUCCAUUCUUUCUCUCUCUACUAAACAUUCUUCUCUUUUCCCUUUUUAAGCUUUUCUUUCUCUUUUUUGUUUGGGGAAAAAUCUCACAAUCUGGAAGUCCAACUAAAACCUCACACUAUUAAGAAAAACCCACAAAAGAUAGUCUCUGUGUUUGUGGUUUUGCUUUUCUUCUU
rnacentral:misc_RNA from 1 species